GGGAGUAUAGUUUAGUGGUAAAAUAGGGUGCUCCAAACACUCAGUCAGAGGUUCGAUUCCUUUUGCUCCUGCCA
rnacentral:tRNA from 1 species